rnacentral:rRNA from 1 species
GACGAACGCUGGCGGCGUGCUUAACACAUGCAAGUCGAACGGUGAAGGGACUGGUUUUGCUGGUCCUGGAUGAGUGGCGAACGGGUGAGUAACACGUGAGUAACCUGCCCCCUUCUUCUGGAUGACCGCAUGAAAGUGUGGCUAAUACGGGAUAUUCUGGGUCUGUCGCAUGGUGGGCCUGGGAAAGAUUGCGCCUUUUUUGGUGUUUUUGGUGGGGGAUGGGCUCGCGGCCUAUCAGCUUGUUGGUGGGGUGAUGGCCUACCAAGGCGGUGACGGGUAGCCGGCCUGAGAGGGUGGACGGUCACACUGGGACUGAGACACGGCCCAGACUCCUACGGGAGGCAGCAGUGGGGAAUAUUGCACAAUGGGCGCAAGCCUGAUGCAGCGACGCCGCGUGAGGGAUGGAGGCCGUCGGGUUGUGAACCUCUUUCGCCAGUGAAGCAGGCCUGCCUCUUUUUGUGAGUGGGUUGACGGUAGCUGGAUAAGAAGCGCCGGCUAACUACGUG